GACGAACGCUGGCGGCGUGCUUAACACAUGCAAGUCGAACGGAAAGGCCCUGCUUUUGUGGGGUGCUCGAGUGGCGAACGGGUGAGUAACACGUGAGUAACCUGCCCUUGACUUUGGGAUAACUUCAGGAAACUGGGGCUAAUACCGGAUAGGAGCUCCUGCUGCAUGGUGGGGGUUGGAAAGUUUCGGCGGUUGGGGAUGGACUCGCGGCUUAUCAGCUUGUUGGUGGGGUAGUGGCUUACCAAGGCUUUGACGGGUAGCCGGCCUGAGAGGGUGACCGGCCACCAUGGGGCUGGGGUUCCGCCCCGACUCCUACGGGAGGGAGCAGGUGGGAAUAUUGCCCCAUGGGCGGAAGCCUGAUGCAGCAACGCCGCGUGCGGGAUGACGGCCUUCGGGUUGUAAACCGCUUUCGCCUGUGACGAAGCGUGAGUGACGGUAAUGGGUAAAGAAGCACCGGCUAACUACGUG
rnacentral:rRNA from 1 species